ensembl:snRNA U5 U5 spliceosomal RNA
GUACUCUGGUUUCUCUUCAAAUCGUAUAAAUCUUUCGCGUUUUACUCAAGAUUUCCAAGGAGAGGAACAAUUCUGAGUCUUAAUUCAAUUUUUUGAGGCCCUGUUUCUUCGGGGCU